ACCGGAAGUCGCCUAGGUGACCCGGAAACGGAAGUCUGGUGGCGCGGCCAUAACGGCUCCGAGCAGGGGGCAGGUGCCCGUGAGAGGUCGCUGAGGGAAGAGCAUGCGUAUAAAGGAGUGGAAAUGUACUGCCACGUGUUGUGGAGCAUUCUUUCUCAGGCUGGUAACAUUACAGAAUUCCUGUUGAAAUGCAAGCUGGACUGGUGGAUACCAGAUUUUCAAAUCUUCUCAUGAGCUGUUUGUCAAGAUAUGCAGAUGGCUUGUGUCUGGUGGAGGAACACCCCAUCCCCCUCUAUGAAAAAGCCAGUUCUGUGAAGUCCUGGGGUUUGAAUGACUUUGUGGUUGGAAGUGAAGAAACCGAAGCAGACGAUGAAGAGCCUGCCAGUUCAUUACUGUGGAGUGGCAAGAUAUUAAUCCAGUAGUUAAUUCAUCUUGCCACUGAAUCCUAGAGGCCUGAAACUAGAAACCUAGGCAUGACGCUUCCACUGCCAGAGGAUUUUAUCCCCCCACUGCGUUCACACACACCACCCCCCUCAAUUCAGGAAUUGCUUUCAGCCAACAUUACCUCUGCUUUCUGAGCACAAGCCAAGCUAUUGUGCUGGAAAUAAUCUGUGUUAGUCUUAUUGGAGUGGCUUGCGUUGCCAUAGUUACUGUUUAGGUUCUGUGCACCUAAAAUUUCAAGGAUUUAUCAGGAAAAAAGAGUUUGCUGA